rnacentral:rRNA from 1 species
CCUACGGGCGGCAGCAGUGAGGAAUAUUGGUCAAUGGGCGCGAGCCUGAACCAGCCAAGUAGCGUGAGGGAAGACUGCCCUACGGGUUGUAAACUUCUUUUGUCAAGGAGUAAAAUGCGGCACGCGUGCCGUUUUGUAAGUACUUGAUGAAUAAGGAUCGGCUAACUCCGUGCCAGCAGCCGCGGUAAUACGGAGGAUGCGAGCGUUAUCCGGAUUUAUUGGGUUUAAAGGGAGCGGAGAUGGGAUGUUAAGUCAGUGGUGAAAGUGUGAGGCUCAACCGUAAACGAGGCAUUGAUACUGGCAGUCUUGAGUACAGGUGAGGUAGGCGGAAUGCGUGGUGUAGCGGUGAAAUGCUUAGAUAUCACGAAGAACUCCGAUUGCGAAGGCAGCUUACCAAAGUGCCACUGACAUUGAUGCUCGAAAGUGUGGGUAUCAAACAGGAUUAGAUACCCUUGUAGUC